rnacentral:rRNA from 1 species
UGGGGAAUAUUGGACAAUGGGCGAAAGCCUGAUCCAGCAAUGCCGCGUGUGUGAAGAAGGCCUUAGGGUUGUAAAGCACUUUCAGUGGGGAGGAAGGUGUGCGUGCUAAUAUCACGCAUAUUUGACGUUACCCACAGAAGAAGCACCGGCUAACUCUGUGCCAGCAGCCGCGGUAAUACAGAGGGUGCAAGCGUUAAUCGGAAUUACUGGGCGUAAAGCGUGUGUAGGUGGUAAGAUAAGUUAGAUGUGAAAUCCCCGGGCUUAACCUGGGAACUGCGUUUAAAACUGUCUAACUAGAGUACUGUAGAGGAUAGUGGAAUUUCCAGUGUAGCGGUGAAAUGCGUAGAUAUUGGAAGGAACACCAGUGGCGAAGGCGACUAUCUGGAUAGAUACUGACACU